UCUGAAGGGGGAUGUUGUGGAUUCUCAGAGCACAUGCUGUACCUUGGAGGGCCCCUCAGAUAACUACAGUCAUAGAUGUAACAUGAGGAAAGAAAUGGGAUGCCAUCGCAAGGACCUAGAGGUGCAACAAAUCUGGAGUGUAACACAAGCACCAUGCCAGAAAUACUUGGAAAUAAGACUAAUAAAAACAAAAUAGAUGGGAGAAAAAAAAUCAAACAACUCAAUACUGUCAGAGUAUUUUUUAUCAGUGAAAACUGAAGAGCAAUAAUAGAAAACAGCAGCAGUUUUAAGUCACCAUUGUACCUUAAACCAAAUCAUGUCUGGUUUCCAACAUUACGUUGGCUAUGGCCAGAUUUAACAGAGCAGAUGAUGAAGUGAUUUUAUCUAUGAAAACAGAGUGAAGGUCUUCAUUUCAGCAGCUCAAAUAUGAGGAUUUGUUGACUUUAUUACUCUUCCAUUACUGUGAAAGGACUUGUUUUGGACUGUGAGGUGGACAAAAGUUGACAUCUGGAGAGCUGUGCUGCACAUUUUCAGCAUCCUGAUGUUUGACUGUGGACCAGAUGUGUAGCUGAGCAGGUAAACAGCAGGUGAAGUGUCUACCCACAGGAUAAACCAGCAUGUGUGUCCUCCCACUGGCUGGACAGAAGCAUUUCCUGAAACCGGAGACUAAAACUGACUCCACCGAGCUGCUAAUGGCUUCACCAACCUUUACCGAGUUCUCUCAAUAACCACGCACGGAGUCGGACUGCGUGUGCGCGUGUGCUGGCUGCUGUUGGGAUUAUUGUGCUACCAGAUGGGUAACAUUAGGUUAGCAUUGUCUCCAAACCACGAGCUAGUAACUUACACUGGCUAGCGCUAGCUCAGUUAGCCGCACUGUCUCACUGACACUUCCACGACCAGGACAGUAUCACGGCAGGGGGCUGUCAGCGUGGGUUUGGAUAAGCAGGGAUUUCACUCAAACGACCCCGUGUGUGUGUGUGUGUGUGUGUGUGUGUGUGUGUGUGUGUGUGUGUGUGUGUGUGUGUGUGUGUGUGUGUGUGUGUGUGCGUGUGUGGGUGUGUGUGUGUGUGUGUGUGUUUGACCUGCUAACAGCCGAAGUUACCAGACUGCCAAAAAAGGGAGCUAACGCUAGCUGCUGUCCAAACAUCCACUGACCUUCCCAGUAAGACCAGCGAACACCAGUAAAUAUCCACGGAAACGCAGCACAGCCUCUACUUUAAUACUACGACUACAGUCCUGACGGUAAGCCCUGAUGCCACUAAAGCCAGAGCCCGGGUUUGUGUUUAUUUUGGUUACCUACCAUUUUUACACCCGCUGCUUCACCACUCUGGUAGUCCGACUGCCGCUCAUUGUGCGCCUGCGCGGAAGUAGCAGAAAAGCUGUUCCAGGUUUGAGAUGAGGUUAAAAAAAAAGGAGAUGAGGUUUAAAAAAAGAUGAGUUUUAAAAAAUAAAUAGAGAGAUGAGGUUAAAAAAAAUGAGAUGUGAGGUUUAAAAAAAAUAAAAAGAUAGAUGAGGUUUUAAAAAAGAGAGAUGAGGUUUAAAAAAUAAUUAAAAAAUGAGAGGUGAGGUUUAAAAAAAAAUCAGAGAUGAGGUUUGGUGGCAGCUGAUCUGUUGUUGUUUGCUUUAUUUCCAUUCAUUCACCAAAAUAAAUCCGUGUGUAUGGAAGCCCGUUUUCGCCACUUGGAAAAAAAAGUCACAUGCUAUCUCAUAAUUAUGACUUAAUAUCUCAUAAUAAUGACUUAAUAUCUCAUAAUAAUGACUUUCUAACUCAUAAUUAUGACUUACUGUCUCAUAAUUAUGACUUACGGUCUCAUAAUUAUGAGACAGCAUGUGAUUUUUUUUUCAAACAGACUUCCAUAUAUGUGCAUGUGUUUAUUUAUUCAAGAAAUAAAGAAAGUGAUUUCUUUUGUUUUUUUUACUGAAACAUAAACAAAUAUACAGCAAGCAAAUGCGUUCUUUUUGGACGUAAAGAAAAAGUUUUUUUAAAAUGUAUUUCUAUUUUUCUGGUCAGAAAGUGGUUUAAUGUAGUCGGCUGUGCAAUAAAUAAAUUCAUACAUACAUAAAUAAACUGCUCAGGUGGUGGAAAAUUCUCAGUGACUGAGGUAAUCCACACCAUAGUCAUGUGUGCAGUUAAAUGACAGUGAUCACACAAUGUGCCCAAUACCCUGACAUUCCUCUGACCAGUGGCUACAAAAGGACACGUACAAAUGCAGCUUUAUUCAAAUGACACGAUGCCACAGAUGACAGGUCAGUUAGGGCUGUAGGCACUCGACUGUCCCACACUCAACCAUUUGUAGUCAGAGAAUUUACUACCAGGGUCAGUCUAUAACUGAGGGACUUUGAAGUCCAUGGGAUAAAUCUGGCAUACAUUUUUAUUAAAAGUAAAAAUUUAAUGCUUUUUAAGAUAGAUAAAAUAAUCCUUUAUUACUCCCCAGGUCAGGGGAAAUUUCAGUGUUCCAGCAGCAAACAUCUUUCAUAGCGGCACUAACUAUAUGUACAGUAAUGAUAAUAAUUAGAAUAACAAUAAUAUGUACAAAAUAUACAAGAAUGAAGAAUGAAUAAAAAAUGAAUAAAUACAGUAUUAACCUUUUUAUGUUUAUUAUGAUCAUGUCUUUACAAAUUCCAUCAUUAUUUAUUAUGGAAACAAUCACUUAUUAAUAAAAAUGGCUGGAUAUCACUAAAAUGUCAACUAAAUAACCGUCUGAAUUUAAUACCAACCACCUUCUAAUGAGCUAAACAAUAAUAAAAUGAGCUGAUUCAGAAAUAGUUUGGAUUGUGUUCUUUUAUUAAGUUGAGAUAAUCAUGACAGAUAUUUCUUUUUUGGCAAUAUGUCACAUUUUAUAUAGAAAAUAACAAAUUAAAUUUCCACUAAGUUCCCCAUUCCAAAAACACCUCUCCAGGAAGUGAAUUAAUUCCAGAUCACAUGAGUCACAACAGGUUUACUACAACAUCUUUAUAAAUAACUUUCAAUUUCAAUUUUACUCAGUUGUAUAUAUAAUAUUUAGAAGAAUCUUUCUCUAAAAUGCCAUGUGGUGUUUGGUUAUAGACGGUCAUGUUGAUUUUAGGUCUGAAAACAGCAAAAAUGUCGACUAUGAUACAAAAAGUCCUGCAGUUAUAUGUUGACCCACCAGAUGAUGCCCUGGAUAAAUGUGUCUGACAGCAUAAUCCUGCAUACUUGAUUGUUUGAUGAUGUCCACUGUGCUGUAGAGAUGCCGUGCGCUGGACCAACAAAUACUUACUCAAGUAUGUUAAAAAAGAAUGCCUAAAAUUCAAUACAAUAUUAAAUGUUGCAUUUACAGUUUUGCUUAGUAUAUUUUUAUAGCAGGUAUAACAUAGAAAAUAUCCCCCAAGACUGCAUACAACACUGUUAAAAAUAAAACACAACUCCACCCUUCACCCUCAACACACAGGGACACACUGUCUGACUCAACACCCAAACACACCAGCACAACCAAUGUAACACACACCCUGAAACACAGGAAUUACAGUUCUUCUUUAAUACACAUCAAUCCAGUCCUGAUGUCCUAAUAAGAGACGGACAGCUCACACUGCAGUAGAUUCAUUUGAGAGAAAGAUUUGUCCAAACUGACUUACAGUAACUGGCAUUCAAGCUGCACUGAAACGUGAGCUAUAGGUGACAUCAAAAACAGCUAAAUGAAAAAGUAAAGUAGGUAUCCUAAGGACCCCAGAACCGCAGGAGCCCCUAAAACCUCAGAUUUUCUGUGUGUCAUGUUGUUUAUUCCUGUUUAAGUGGAGCUUUGUCUGGAAAUAUGCACAGUUAACCCUCAUGUCGUCUUGUGGGUCAAAAUUGACCCGUUUUAAAGUUUGAAAAUGUGAAAAAAAUAUAUAGUUUCACAGAGAAACUUCUGAUGUCCACAUUUUCAACAUUUUUGGGAAAUCAAUGAACAUUUUUUGGUGGAAAAAAAGAAAUGUUAAAAUGUUUCUGAAGAACAUUCAGAAAAAAAUCAACCAAAAUCUGUUACAGCCACAGCUUAGGCUGUGAGCUGUGGCAGGACUCUCUCCUCCCUCGGCCUUGCUCUCUCUACCGUACAGGUGUGUGACGCUGAUGAGAGGUCCAGGUGUUUCUAUUCGCAAUCAGCAGAUCGUGUGCAGGUGGAGGCCGGCUAAUCAGCUUCUGUGGCGUCUCUAUAAACACUGCGCUCAGUGCUGACCUCUGCCUGCUGUUGGUUCCUGAUUCCUCCGGUCUUCUCCGUGGAUUCUGUUGGAUUGAGGAAAUUGACCGUCGUCAGAACCACCAGGAUAACACCAACCACAACACCUGGAGUGUCCAGAUCCAUCUUAUCUCCUUCUUCUCCUGCCUCGUUUGGGACGCCAUACCUACCAUCCUCAUGUCUGCUUAUUGAUAGGAGGCUCCUAGGAAGAACCAAGAGGAGACGAAUUCCCCCAUGGACAUUCCCCCUCCCUCUCUUCUAGUGUCAGUAAGGUUCUCCAGCCCUAGAGUCACCAGACGUAGAUUAUACCAACCUGUUUUCGUCGGCUCUUAACCUUUGGGGUUUUUUAGGUUAGAGCUUUUGGGGUUUCAGUACAGUUACUGGCUGUUUUGCGUUUUAGUUGGGUUUCCUUAGUUGUUUUCCUGCCUUGGUUAUACCAGUAGUGGGUUAAUUGUAGUUUUGGGUUUUGUUUUUGUUUUUAGUCCUCCUUACCUCUAGAGGCGUUUAUGUUCAGUUCUUUCUUAGUUACUUCUGGCUCGGAUUUGUAAUUCCGGUUUUUGUUAUGCAUGUAUUCCUUGAGUCUGUAAAUAAAGCACUUUAAACACAAA